UACGGAGGGGGCGAGCGUUAUUCGGAAUUAUUGGGCGUAAAGCGCGCGUAGGCGGCUGGGCAAGUCAAAGGUGAAAUCCCUCGGCUCAACUGAGGAACUGCCUUUGAAACUGCCUGGCUUGAGGCCGGGAGGGGGUAGCGGAAUUCCCAGUGUAGCGGUGAAAUGCGUAGAUAUCAGGAGGAACACCGGUGGCGAAGGCGGAUCUCUGGGCCAUUACUGACGCUGAGGAGCGAAAGCGUGGGGAGCGAACAGG
rnacentral:rRNA from 1 species